rnacentral:lncRNA from 1 species
UGCCCACACUUUCCCCAGAGCUUAAACAUAGCCUUGUUACGAUCUGUGCUUCUUCUCAACUGGCAGCCACCUCUGUGACAAUGUCCCCACAGCAAUAAAAAGAUCACUAACACAUUUGAUGUUCAGAUGGAGUGCUAAACUACAAGAAAGAAAAUAUUAAGCACAAACAUCCAUAAAUAAUAUGUGUGAUGCAGUUACGCAGUUUGAAAGGCACAAGUUAAGAGCACCAGGGCUCACACACAGCAGUGUUUGGCUGUUAGCAUCUUGGCUGGGCAAAACCAUUUGAAGGCAGGCACAGGCAGCCAUCACCUGGAGACCCGGCUGGGCAGCAGGGCUCAGCCAUCACACCUAGGGAGCCCUGGAGAGGAGCCAUCUGAGGUCCCAUGACAGCCUUGGCCUCAGCCCCUGCACACUGCUAACUCCCAGCCCUCCUUCUGGGUGCAAGGCUCAAGAUGGGUGGGGUGAGGAGGCACAGGUGUGCUGAGGAGAGGUGAGGUGCAGUGGCUAUUUUGUGGAGGUGAGGGGAAGGGGUUUCUCUGGAGAGAGACGGAGAGAUGCUUCUGAAAGUCAGUAAGAGGAAGGGAAACAUGAGCAGCAGUAUAUAGAGGACAAACUUUGGAGGCCAGGAGAUUUGCAGCUUGGUCAUUGAUGAAGGAGAGUCUCAGCCAACUGCAAACGUUCCAGCAGCUCAGUUGAAGUAAAGGCUUUUAGAAUAUCUUGCAACUGAGGGGAUGGGAGCACCAAAGGUCAUGUCUGUGUGUCUUUGAGGGAGCAUGGAAGGCCAAUGCCAGUCCAACUGAUUUUUGAAAAUAUCUGCCUAAGCUGUAUCUCAGAAGCACACCCCGGGGGCUUAGAAGUCACAGUGGAUUUACAUAACUCCUAUUCCCUUAGCUGCUCAUCAUACUCAGGUACAGCAUCUUACAUGAAACAAAAUUACUUCAUCCUUUUCUGUCUCUCUCUCUUUUUUUUUUUUUUUUUUUUUUUUUUAAACUGUCUGUCUGUUGAAAUCUAUGGCUGGAAGAAACUGAACCUAGCUUUACAGAGGAAGAUAGAAUUAAACAAGCUUUAAACUAGACGCUGUACAGGUUAUCAUGACUGUGGCAUCAGAAAUGAGCUUCCUAAUUUUUUACCUUCAAACUUUGGAGAGUUUUGCAACUUUGGCUGUAAGAUCCUUCAUUUAGUCAAAUCAGGAACUAAGACAAGAUAGUGAUCAUUCAGUUACAUUUACACAAUACUUAGCCACAGAAUCACAGAAUCACAGAAUUUCUAGGUUGGAAGAGACCUCAAGAUCAUCGAGUCCAACCUCUAACCUAACACUAACAGUCCCCACUAAACCAUAUCCCUAAGCUCUACAUCUAAACGUCUUUUGAAGACUUCCAGGGAUGGUGACUCCACCACCUCCCUGGGCAGCCCGUUCCAGUGCCUAACAACCCUUUCAGUAAAGAAAUUCUUCCUAACAUCUAACCUAAAACUCCCCUGGCGUAACUUUAGCCCAUUCCCCCUCGUCCUGUCACCAGGCACAUGGGAGAACAGGCCAACCCCCACCUCUCUACAGCCUCCUUUAAUGUACUUAUACAGAGCAAUAAGGUCACCCCUGAGCCUCCUCUUCUCUAGGCUGAACAAGCCCAGCUCCUUCAGCCGCUCCUCAUAGGACUUGCUCUCCAGGCCCCUCACCAGCUUCGUCGCCCUUCUUUGGACCCGCUCAAGCACCUCGAUGUCCUUCUUGUAGCGAGGGGCCCAAAACUGAACACAGUACUCGAGGUGCGGCCUCACCAGAGCCGAGUACAGGGGGACGAUCACCUCCCUAGCCCUGCUGGUCACACUGUUUCUGAUACAAGCCAGGAUGCCGUUGGCCUUCUUGGCCACCUGAGCACACUGCUGGCUCAUAUUCAGCCGACUGUCCACCAUCACUCCCAGGUCCUUCUCUGCCUGGCAGCUCUCCAACCAUUCCUCUCCCAGCCUGUAGUUCUGCUUGGGGUUAUUGCGCCCCAGGUGCAGGACCCGGCACUUGGCCUUGUUGAACUUCAUACAGUUGACCUCAGCCCAUCGGUGCAGCCUAUCCAGAUCCU